ensembl:lncRNA
GGAAUGGCAAUCCACUCCAGUAUUCUUGCCUGGAGAAGUCCAUGGACAGAGGAGCCUGGAGGGCCACAGUCCAUGGGGUCACAAAGAGUCUGACAGGACUCAGUGACUAAUACUAUAUUUUCUGUUAUACUGUAAUCUUACUUGUACCUAGGAUACUGCCUGGGCCAAAUGAAUGAAUAAAUCCACACAUACAUUCACAAAAUGUUUCUGAAAGUCUCACUUAGGACCGCAGACUUACCCUGGACUAGAAUAAGUAUCAGCCUGAGUUUAUUUGCAUAGACCUAUUUAUAGCAUCUUGGUUACAAAUUAAUGGUAGUUGAAAAAGUAACAAAUGUGGAGACCUAGUGUUCAUUAAAGUUUAAAUUCAAGUAAAUAUAAGUCCAGUAAAUUUUCAUACGAAAUAAGAGGGCCUUUUAUUAUUCUUUGAGAAACUCAAACAUUGAACAGACUAAACAAGUCCCUUUGACGAUAAAAAUUCUUUUAAAUGUUUUAAAACUGCAAUUAUAACUCUAAUGCAUUUGCUUUUUUUUAAAAGUAAGCACUUCAAAUACCUGCUCACAGAAGGUUCAAUCCUAAUAAGCAAAACAUUCCCAAGUUAAUUAAUAACUUAUAAAUUUAGUAAGUUAAACAUAAAUAUAUCUCGAAUUCUCUCAAAGAAAAACUUCAGCAUUCUUAAAAUUAGUGAAAUUAUCAUACCUUUCCAUUAAAAAUCAUAUCUUACACUAAUAGCUUAUUUUAAAAUGGAAAGCAUAAGGCUACUAUGGUGGGCGGAAUAAUGGUCCCCCAGAGCCAAGGAACGAGAUCAAAGUCUACUGGAAAAGGCAAGGAUUAAACAUCCACCCCUGGAGCCUACAGACCUCCCUAGUGGCUCAGUUGGUAAAGCGUCUGCCUACAAUAUGGGAGACCUGAGUUCAAUCCUUGGGUCGGGAAGAUCUCCUGGAGAAGGAAAUGGCAACCCAGUCCAGUACUCUUGCCUGGAAAAUCCCAUGGACAGAGAAGCCUGCUGGGCUACAGUCCAUGGACUCGCAAAGAGUUGGACACAACUGAGCGACUUCACUUCCUGGAGCCUAUAGAAGGGAACCUCGCCCUGCUGACACCUUGACCUUGGCCCAGAGAGACCUGUGUCAGCCUUCUGGCCUUCUAAUGAAUUUGUGUUGUCUUAAGCCACUGAGUUUGUGGUAACUUGUUACAGCCACACAGGAAGCUAAGACAGAGAACCUAGCAGACACUCUAGCUCUGCCCCUUCAGAUAAAUUCCCACUCAUCCUUCUGCUCCAUGUCCCCCGUCCCCUGCUGAGUGGGGAAGCUGUCUGCCAUUAAAGGCACAGCCUAAGUCAGCACCCAGUCACUCUGGCCGCCCUGAUACAUGAACCUGCAAAGCUGGACCGGAUGGCUCCACCUGUUGGGUGCAGGUGUGAAGCUGCCUCCUUCCCACUCUACAUGGGCUUCAUUGAGGCUGAUGCCAAUCAUGCUUCUGCCCAAGAAGCAUCACAGAGACCCAGCAUUUCAACUUCUCUCCAAUAAGCCAUGUUUAUGAAACAACAGCGUCCUGGGCACUGGAGCAGCCCAUCAGAACUGUGAGCUCAGGGACUUCCCUGGUGGUCCAAUGGCUGAGACUCUGAGUUCCCAAUGCAGGGGCCCAGGUUCCAUCC